CCUUGGUCACCUGUUGCUGACCCGAAAAAUCGAGCGUUGCUUGUCUCACGCUAGCUGCAUUUGGGCUUGGGGUUGGGUUAGCAGCAGCAGCAAGUGUCGUGUUAGCAUGUGUUGAUGUGAGGUGCUGCAUAAGAUUUGAGUUGCUUGAGGCAGACGUGGAUAAAGUCUUUUUUCCUGGGCAUAGCGUGCAUGUUACAGAAACAUUCUUGCCUUUAAUUUCAAUGAGCGAGAAGUAGUGCCGGUACUUCCAGUUCGAGAACGCUACCUUUGAAUUUCCCUGGCUCGUCGCCAUUGUCGCUGUCCUGUGUUUAGUGGUAGUCAGAGCGUGCAGUGAGACAGCGUGAGCAGGGCAUCUGCCCACCCAGCCAAUCAUCAUCGCAUUUGCAACAGUGUCAUCAUCCCCACCCCUGCUCUCUCCAGGCAGCUGAUGUGUAGCCAAAGCCUGACACCUCGCGCUUCAUUCAACCAAAUUGUAGUAACGCGCCACUUUACAUUCUCAGUAACGAUAACGGCGUUGCAACGAUGGGAAAAGUAAUUAAUUAGAUUACU